UGAGUUUGAUCAUGGCUCAGAUUGAACGCUGGCGGCAGGCCUAACACAUGCAAGUCGAGCGGCAGCACAAGGGAACUUGUUCCCUGGGUGGCGAGCGGCGGACGGGUGAGUAAUGGCUGGGAACCUGCCCUGAUGUGGGGGAUAACAGUUGGAAACGACUGCUAAUACCGCAUGAUGUCUACGGACCAAAGAGGAGGACCUUCGAGCUUCUCGCGUCAGGAUGGGCCCAGUUGGGAUUAGCUAGUUGGUGGGGUAAUGGCCUACCAAGGCGACGAUCCCUAGCUGGUUUGAGAGGAUGAUCAGCCACACUGGAACUGAGACACGGUCCAGACUCCUACGGGAGGCAGCAGUGGGGAAUAUUGCACAAUGGGCGCAAGCCUGAUGCAGCCAUGCCGCGUGUGUGAAGAAGGCCUUCGGGUUGUAAAGCACUUUCAGCAGUGAGGAAGGUGGUGUAGUUAAUACCUGCAUCAUUUGACGUUAGCUGCAGAAAAAGCACCGGCUAACUCCGUGCCAGCAGCCGCGGUAAUACGGAGGGUGCGAGCGUUAAUCGGAAUUACUGGGCGUAAAGCGCAUGCAGGCGGUCUGUUAAGCAAGAUGUGAAAGCCCCGGGCUUAACCU
rnacentral:rRNA from 1 species